GAUGAACGCUGGCGGCGUGCCUAAUACAUGCAAGUCGAGCGAACAGACGAGGAGCUCGCUCCUUUGACGUUAGCGGCGGACGGGUGAGUAACACGUAGAUAACCUACCUAUAAGACUGGGAUAACUACGGGGAACCGGAUCUAAUACCGGAUCACAUGUCGAACGGCAUGGAUCAACGGUGCUACACGUUCUUGCUGACACUUAGAGCUGGUUCCGGGCCGGAUUAGCUAGUUGGUAAGGUAACGGCUUACCAAGGCAACGAUGCGUAGCCGAUCUGAGAGGAUGAUCAGCCACACUGGAACUGAGACACGGUCCAGACUCCUACGGGAGGCAGCAGUAGGGAAUCUUCCACAAAGGGCGAAAGCCUGACGGAGCAACGCCGCGUGAGUGAAGAAGGUCUUCGGAUCGUAAAACUCUGUUAUUAGGGAAGAACAAAAGUAUGUUAAUCUAUGGACGUCUUGACGGUACCUAAAGAGUAAGCCACGGCUAACUUCGUG
rnacentral:rRNA from 1 species